CACACACACACACACACACACACACACACACACACACACACACACACACACACAGUUGUCCCUUCAGAGUCUUGACAGCUUCAGGUGUCGGAUCAGAACCGUCCGUAAAAAAAAGCCCUGCACUUCUGCAUCGACCCGUCCUCCGACCCGUCCCAGAGUCCAGAGUCCACGUGUCCCACAGAGUCCUGAACUAAACCUACAAAGACACAAAUGUCUCUAAGGUACUGCAGGUGAAACAAAGACCAGAUGAGGACUCCUCGUGUCCAGUCUGCUGGCUCAGGACCUGAACACUCAUCCAGCACCCGCCGAGACCAGGACCAGGAACCAGACAAGUUCUGCCAUGAUGGACCACGUCCCGAGGCGGGGACAUCAUGCAGUGAGAAGCUGAACCGAACCGGUCCUCCCAAAAACUGAAGGUCCAGCAAACAAAGGUGGACAAGAAUGAGCUGAGACAGAAGGACUGGUCCAAGUCUUCCAGAGGGGACAGAAGGACUGGUUGGAGUCCACUAAGCUACAAAAACAAACGGGCUGGUACCGAGGAUCAGAAACAUCCUGUCCGCCAGAACAGACCCCCAACAGGUCCUGAAGACAAACAGGACCACCAGGAGUCCAGGUCCUGGUGGUCUACAGGACCAUAAGAAGACCAGGUCCUGGUGGUCUACAGGACCAUAAGAAGACCAAGUCCUGGUGGUCUACAGGACCAUAAGAAGACCGGGUCCUGGUGGUCUACAAGAAGACCAGGUCCUGGUGGUCUACAGAACCAUCAGGAGACCAGGUCCUGGUGGUCUACAGGACCAUAAGAAGACCAGGUCCUGGUGGUCUACAGGACCAUAAGAAGACCAGGUCCUGGUGGUCUACAGGACCAUAAGAAGACCAGGUCCUGGUGGUCUACAGGACCAUAAGAAGACCAGGUCCUGGUGGUCUACAGGACCAUAAGAAGACCAGGUCCUGGUGGUCUACAGGACCAUCAGGAGUGCAGAUCCUCGUGGUCUACAGGACCAUAAGAAUAUCAGGUUCUGGUGGUCUACAGGACCAUAGGAAGACCAGGUCCUGGUGGUCUACAGGACCAUAAGAAGACCAGGUCCUGGUGGUCUACAGGACCAUCAGGAGUCCAGGUCCUGGUGGUCUACAGGACCAUAAGAAGACCAGGUCCUGGUGGUCUACAGGACCAUCAGGAGUCCAGGUCCUGGUGGUCUACAGGACCAUAAGAAAACCAGGUCCUGGUGGUCUACAGGACCAUCAGGACUCAGAGUGGACUAUCAGGAUCCAGGCCAGGCACCAGUUGAACCCCCACCAGAGGACA